GCCGCCAUGGUGUAGCGGCAAACAUCGAUGGCCUUCGACCAUCGGCUGCCGGUUCGAAUCCGGCUGGCGGCA
rnacentral:tRNA from 1 species